AUUGAACGCUGGCGGCAGGCUUAACACAUGCAAGUCGAGCGCCCCGCAAGGGGAGCGGCAGACGGGUGAGUAACGCGUGGGAACAUACCCUUUCCUGCGGAAUAGCUCCGGGAAACUGGAAUUAAUACCGCAUACGCCCUACGGGGGAAAGAUUUAUCGGGGAAGGAUUGGCCCGCGUUGGAUUAGCUAGUUGGUGGGGUAAAGGCCUACCAAUGCGCCGAUCCAUAGCUGGUCUGAGAGGAUGAUCAGCCAUAUUGGGACUGAGACACGGCCCAACCUCCUAGGGGAGGCAGCAUUGGGGAAUAUUGGACAAUGGGCGCAAGCCUUAUCCAGCCAUGCCGCGUGAGUGAUGAAGGCCUUAGGGUUGUAAAGCUCUUUCACCGGAGAAGAUAAUGACGGUAUCCGGAGAAGAAGCCCCGGCUAACUUCGUGCCAGCCGCCGCUGUAACAC
rnacentral:rRNA from 1 species